GAGACAGUGACAUCACUAAGUCACUGAGAGCCCCAGCUCUAGUUUCCACAAACAGGGCUGGAAGACAUCAGAUCUUGCCUUGGUCCUGAGAUGGACUCCAGGCUCUUCUGUGUGGCCUUGAGUCUCCUGUGUGCAAAACACAUGGAGGCUGCAGUCACCCAAGACCCAAGAAGCAAGGUGACAGUAACAGGAGGAAAGGUGACACUGAGCUGUCGCCAGACUUACAACCACAACAAUAUGUACUGGUAUCGGCAGGACCUGGGUCAUGGACUGAGGCUGAUCCAUUACUCAUAUGGUGCUGACAACGUUGAGAAAGGAGAUGUCCCUGAUGGGUACACGGUUACCAGACCAAACCAAGAGAACUUCUCCCUCAUUCUGGAGAUGGCUUCCCCCUCUCAGACAGCUGUGUACUUCUGUGCCAGCAGUGAUGCACAGCAGUGUGUGGCUGUCUCCUCUCUGCACAUAAAGUAAAUUAGGAAGACAAGUUUCCUGUGUGCCUCAGGAAGUCCCUGCCUCUUUAAGAGUCACUGAGCUCUAAAAAAAAAAAAAAAAAAAAAAAAAAAAAAAAAAAAAAAAAAAAAAAAAACAAAGGACAUUUAAGCAUGGGUCUCAGCCUGACUGAAGACCAACUCUAACACCUUUUCAUGGCUGCUUGUCACAAAUCCACCCCUUGUUUCUGCUUACAGAAAGAAACCUGAAUCCUUAAUUGAAAUCCUGAUGACUCUUUUGAUAAGCUUACAGCCACUAUCUCCCUCCCUGUGGACUUCAAGUUAACUCUUCAACCACUUUACUAUCCACCUGAGUCACUUACAUGGUCUCUUUCCAGGUCAGUAACCCCUUUGUUCUACAGGACAGUAGCCCAUAAGGUCCUAUGUCAUUUUCAUCAUUCAUCUCUAUCAACAGCCUUUACCCAGCCUUCCCUGGUUCUUUCUUCCCCAGCUAAAUGUAUCUACAUUCCCCUUCUUCAUUUGUCUUAUGCUGUUUUCAACUGUGGAGACAUUUUCCUAGGACCUUCCUUCUGUACCAAAGGCAUGCCUUUCCCUCUUCCUCUGAAUCUCUAUUUCCCAUGAAAAUCUUAUUUUCUAAGAUUUUAAUGGAAUUAUAUUAUUUCUUCUCUUACUUCUUCCUCUAGUCCCUCACAUUAUUUUCUCCCCUUUCAAA